rnacentral:tRNA from 1 species
GCGCCGGUGGUGUAAGGUAACAUCGCUGCCCGGAAAGCAGAAGAGCAGAAGACGCGGGUUCGAGUCCCGCCUGGCGCA